CAGCAACUUGAAAACAAGCUGUUCAGGGAACUGGGCUGUUUUUUCUCUUCAAGAUAUAGCCCAUGAAGUUGCUUGAUAACGGCGUACUGGAAGGUGCUCUAAGGUCUCCCCAGAGUCUUCUCUUCUGAACAACCCCAACUCUCUCAGCCUUUCUUCAUAGGACAGGUGCUCCAGCCCUCUGAUCAUCUUCAUGGUCCUCCUCUGGACUUUCUCCAACAGCUCCAUGGCCUUCUUGUGUUGGGGGCUCCAGAACUGGACACAGUACCCCAGGCUUGUCAAUGUGAAGAAAAUGCAUGGAAGAAACUUAUGUUUCAGCUGCACUGUUGGAUCUCUUCACCACAGAAAGAAACACCCAAAUACAGUAAACUGGCAACAGCCUCAAGUUGGAUAUGCUAUCAGAUAUAAAGAGGAGGAAGAACAAUCCUUGUCAACGCUUUUGUGUAAUAUUCAUCAUUAUUUCUUAGCUUUUUUUUUUUACCUACUUGUUCAUGCAGAUAGAAGCUAGACUGCCUUCCUGGAAGAUUUAGUAAGGGCAUACUAAGCUGUAGAACUUCAAUACAGCUACACAGCUUCCUGCAUGUAAAUGCUAAUUGAAGUUUGAGCUUUUGUGAACAAUUCUAAGUAGAACGAAACAAGAAUAAGAUUCUCAGCUUUUACUUCUGGCUUCAUAAAAGCAGUGUUCUUGUGUUUGUGCAUUGUAAUAAAUUACCUCAUAUGGAGCUAUAAAUAUAAUUCAUUUAAGGUAGAGACAUUCAACAGCAUGAUGGGUCAACAAGUGUUCAGUUCCCUGUUCAAGUGCUUAGUUAUCUUCUGCACCUUAAGCACAACAUUUCUGACACUUCUGAAUCUCUCAGUGGUGGUAUUUUGAAAACAUAAACCAAUAUAAUUAUUUGAUUUUGUGAACUGAGAGCUUCUCUGCACAUUAGAUACUUAUCCUGGGGUGACCAUCUAAGUCAACAUUGCAUGUGAGGCAUUCAGAAUGGCUUUUGGAUGCCCUUGCACCGAUGUCUUUGAAUGGUUCACACCUACUGCAUCCACAUUCAUAUCUAUACAUAGCUGAAACAAUGUCAUGUCAUAUAUCUAGAGUUUAAUAUUACAGCUGAGCAUUGCAGAAGGAAUGCACAAUAAUUUUGAAAUUCUUCAAGUGGAGGAAAAUGCUUGAAUGCAGUAAAUAUUUAAAAAAAGAGAAGUACUGCAAGUUUUAAUGUCUUAGGGAUCUACAACAAACUCCCAGCUUUUUCAGUACUUCGUUGCUUUUGUUUACUGCUCCUUUCUCUCCUUUUUCCCCCUCCUCAACUGUGGCUGAAAACCAGCAAGGUGCAGAUGAUAAUUCAUCUCUGGUAAGCGAGUGCUGGUGCUUCUGACUUGUCUUUAAUUGGACCUAAUGGCUAAAGGUAUUAAAUCUUCAAUAACUUCAACAUCCAAUGGUUCAUCUCCAGGCUCUAUUGACAGUGGUAGAAAGCCAUUUCUGAUGAUGGCUUUUCAGUAGCCAGAGAGAAGUAAUCCAGUACCCUUAGACUAUUUCUUGUGACUAAAUGACUUGUGAGUAAAACAACCACCAUGGAGAUUAACCCACAGGCAGACUUCAAGGCUUGAGAGCAGAGAACACUAACACUACAUCAGUGCUUUGAAGGCUGCUUAUUUAGGUCAGGAAUGAAAUGUGCAGUGAGGAGUACAUAGAAGGCUUGUCUCUCCUCUUGUGUCAAACACUCCUUUCAGAUAUUAUAUUCACUUAAAGGGGAGGUGGAAAAAAACCCACCCUGCUUCAAAUGUCCUAGCUUGCAUGCACAAAAAAAUCAAUGUCCUACACAACCUGGUAACUGCUGUUUCUGCACUUGAAUACUAUGAUACCAAGCUGUGCUUGCCCAGGAACCAUAAUCAUGGCUUGCCAAUAUUUACAUACCUGAAUAUUUAUGGUAGAAGUAGUCCCUUUAAACAGACUUGUUGGAUCUGUGUGGUUUGUGCAUCCCUAUCCCAAAGAUGUCCCUGCCUAGACACUCAGUAUGUUUGUACAACUGAGACAUACAUGCUAAAAUGUGUGCAGCCUCAUGCCCAGCACCCUGUAAAGUGCUAUCAACACUACCAUGGCAAUCUGUGUUCCCAAGCAUUUACAGUGAAUACACACAAAAGAUAAACUAAUCAUCAUCUUUGUUUACACAGCAUGGAAUUAAUGCACAGAUUUGAGUCAAGCUUAAAAAUUUUGGAGAGUGCCAAAACCAAGUUCUUAAAAUUCUUAAGCAAGUGAAGAGUCUUUUCCUUCCCUUGCAGACAGGCGAAGACCACUUCAAUGUUGGUAGCACUACCAAGACAAAUCUGUGUGACUAUUGUGAUAGAAAUGUUAAGACUGAUGUGAAUGGGCACAUGUGGCUCUGGGAGCAGCAGCUGGAAUGAACAGCAGGAGAAGGGCUGUACUAAUGGUGUAUGUUAGUUGAUGUAGUGAGUUAUAUUAGUUGUUAGUAGAUUAGUGUGUCAUUGAGACUCCAGCACCAGUAUCUGCAGCUUCUCAGGGCACACAGAGUGGGAAGGACAGCCUAAAAGAAGGAAGACUUCCUCUCCUAGGCUAGAAUAGGGAGUCAGCCAUUUAAAGAUCACAGCAAAAGGCAGAGAACAGAGUAGUAAACAUAAGACAAUGAUAAAAUUAGGAAGGGAGGUGACUAAAUCCAGAUGAUCCAGAGAGAUGGAACAGGUUGGAGAGAUGGACUAUCAGCCUGCAGUGGGUACAAAAUAUCAGACCAAAAACUGGCACAUGGUUUCUGAACCCAGAGGAAUCCAGGGCACAAGAGGAGGACCCAAUAGCAAGUGCCCCUCAUCCUUCAUGUAAUUUUGAGUUCUUGGCAGACACUGGGACACAAGCAUUUCUGUGUCUGACUGCUGAGCAGCCUACUCUUCUAUGAUUGUCUUGCUGAUCAUAAGUAAAUUGAAGUGGGAGGAAGGUCUCCAAAUAAUAUUGCAACUGCAGGAGAUAGUGCAUGGGCUGCUGUAAGGUCUGUCCUGCAUAGCUGCCUGAUCCACACAGAGACAUGUGGACUACCCUAGCUGGUUCAGAGGUCAGUAGGUAAGGGGAGAGCAUGGUCUAGGCCUUUGACUUAUUUAUCGUUAGAACCUGUCCCUGAUAUACUCUUUUGCCUUUGCUUAUUUAAUCUCCCAGCAAUUAUUCCUGCUUCUGAAAACAGGAACUGCCUCUGCCUCAGUUGAAAUGGUGCACAGUGCACAAGUCUGUUUUUCUUAAUCUGGGCCUUUGAAAGCCUGUGGGUAGAGAUAAAAAUUAGUGCUAUCAGAAUGACAUGUGUCCUUACCCACAAGUCCAUAGUGUGCACUUCUGUCAAGGUGCAAUUUGCCUAACCUUGUUAUGAAAAGCUCUGGUGUUUAUAUGGUCCUGGCCUGGAAAGACUGCUGUCAGCAGAAAAGCAGAUGCCCUCUCUUGCUUGUCUUUAUAACCAUCAGGAUAAUGCCAUGCUCCAGGGUAAUUUCUAGCAUGUCAUUACACACAUAUUGCAUUGUAGGUUGGUUUAG